AGUAAGGGCUAUUCCUUCUUUUAAUUAGUGAUAGUGGUUGCGUUGCUUAGUCGACCUUUUAGAGCUAUAUUCUCUUUACUUUUUACAUUAAAAGUGAUCAAUUUCACCAUUUCUAUGUACAGCACAUUGUAUGGCAGCCAAGACAGAUUAAUUAAAGCCAGAUCAUGUCAUCAAUUGAGGGUACAAUGCAAAAAAACCUUCAAGACGAGGUGCAUGCAAGAUUGCAAUCUCAAAAUUUCAAAUUGCUAUAGGUGUUGAGCAAAGACAGUCCGGAUCCGGGCCAAGUAAAGACCUACUAUAUAGAGAUGAUGAUCAUGAUGACCAAAAACUGUUUGCAUAAUUAUCAUAUGAUCCUAAUCAAUUAAUGUUUUCUGUCAUUUAUAUUGUGAUGUUAUAUUAUUA